UUUGGUUUUUUCUUCUCUUCUUCUUCUUCUUCUUCUUCUUCCAGUUUAUUUUCUCUUUUCUGGGUUUUUGGAGUGAAUUAAAGGUUCAAAUCUUAAAGGGUUUCUGAUUUGGGCAUGGAUCUAGUUCAAUCGCAUGGGUUUCUUCUUUGUCACGGUGAUUUGGUUUUUGAGGAUUGAAAUCGAAUGAGUUCAAUUGAUCAGUUCACGACUGGGUUCUGUUCCUGUCUAAUCCUUGAAGCUUCUCCACCUCGUUGAGAUUCUAUUUUGGGGACAUUAUCCCGAGAAAAGAUGCGAACUGUGGGAUUGGUAGUGCAUGCAUAUUAGGAAUUGGAAAUGAGGUUGCGAUUUGUUGGAUGGUCCUAUGGCUUUAUAAGUCUAAAGAGAAAAGACAGAAAAGAACCAAAAGACAUGGAAAGGGAACUGUUGGCAUGGUAGUGCAUGCUUGUUGGGAAAAAUUAUAAGACAAAAGAGUCAAAUGACUUUGAAUGGGAAUGAACUCUAAGACAAAAGAGAUACAAGAACCAAAGAGUUCUCAUAGUUUGGUACCCUCGGCUUGUAAUAUAAUAUUGGGAAUAAAGACCUUAAGACAAAAGACAUUAGAAGGGAACUCUUAGAUUGGUAGUGCAUGCAUGUUGGGGGAAAUUAUAAGACAAAAGAGUCGAAUGACUUUGAAUGGGAAUGAGCUCUAAGACAAAAAGAGAUACAAGAACCAAAGAGUUCUCAUAGUUUGGUACCCUCGGCUUGCAAAAGAGAUAUUGGGAAUAAAAACCUUAAGACAAAAGACAAAAGACAAAAGACAAAAGACAUUGGAAGGGAACUCUUGGGAUUGGUAGUGCAUGCAUGUUGGGAAAAGUUUCAAGACAAAAGAGUCGAAUGAUUUGAAUGGGAAUGAGCUCUAAGACAAAAAUAGAUACAAGAACCAAAGAGUUCUCAUAGUUUGGUACCCUCGGCUUGCAAAAUAAUAUUGGGAAUAAAAAUCUUAAGACAAAAGACAAAAGACAUUGGAAGGGAACUCUUGGAUUGGUAGUGCAUGCAUGUUGGGGGAAAUUAUAAGAUAAAGGGUCAAACGACAUUGAAUGGGAAUGAGCUAAGACACAAGAAAUACAAGAACCAAAGUGUUCUAACAGCUUGGUACCCUCGGCUUGGAAAAUCAUAACGGGAAUAAGCCUUAAGACAAAGACAUAUGACAUUGGAAGAGAACUGUUGGCUUGGUAGUGCAUGCAUUUUGGGGAAAGAUAUAAGAUUAAGAGUCAAAUGACUUUGAAUGGGAUUGAGCCUAAAGACAAAAGACAUAAAAGAAUCAAAGGUUCUCAAAGAGGGGCUUAGAAGAAUCAUAAGACAAAAGGGAAAAGACUUUGGAUGGGUAGUGCAUGCAAAGUAAAGUAAAGAAGAUCAGUUGCGAUUUGUUGGAUGCUAAAAACAACCAGCAGAGUAAAGAAGUCUUAAAACCAAACUGUGAAUUCAGCAUAUGACUUUAAAAGUUGUAAGGCAAAGAUACUUGGCAAAGAAUAUGCAGCAUGAUUAUACUUGAGACCAAAUAAUAUAAACGAACGAGGUAAGUACAUGACAUUCAUGUAAAAUUAAGACUAACAAAUUCUGUUUAUUUUUUGCAGGUAUAUGCGUUUGUUAAGACUUUGAGUAGAGUUCAAGUAGCAAACUUCUUCGACAGUCAAAUAUCGUAUUCAAACAAUAGAAAGGCGAUGACGACGAAAGAAGAAGAAGAUCCAAAAGGGGUUUUACGUCUCAUACACUGUUCCGAGGAGGUCAAGACUGUGCAAAGUUGUUUUGAUGCAGCUGGUGGGAUUGGCAAAGCAAUAUCUAAUGGUCGAAGAGGUACUUGUUGCCAAAAGCUUAAUUAUCUUCCCAUGCAAUGUUGGCCCGUAUUGUUUCCUGGAAAACUCUUCACAAGUAUCGCGAUCAAACUUGUGUGUCUCUGUGGUUAAAUGCAUCAACAAGACUUAUCCCAAAUAUUACUCAUAUUUGUUUUGCUUUUGGGAAAUAAGAUGUGAUCAUUCACGUCAAUGACAUGUAAUCUUCCUCUGUUUAUUUAGAUCAAUUGAAGAUUAAAACCCUUGUAUUUACUUGAUGCUAUUAACCAUUGUUGUAGUAUGCUGUCUCUAUA